AACGAACGCUGGCGGCAAGCUUAACACAUGCAAGUUGAACGAGAACGCACCUUCGGGUGUUAUUAUAGUGGCAAACGGGUGAGUAACACGUGGGAAUCUACCUUAUAGUACGGAAUAACUAAUGGAAACGGUAGCUAAUACCGAAUACGCCCUUCGGGGGAAAGAUUUAUCGCUAUGAGAUGAGCCCGCGUCCGAUUAGUUAGUUGGUAGGGUAAUGGCCUACCAAGGCUACGAUCGGUAGCUGGUCUGAGAGGAUGAUCAGCCACACUGGGACUGAGACACGGCCCAG
rnacentral:rRNA from 1 species